rnacentral:rRNA from 1 species
CACGUAGGGCGCAAGCGUUGUCCGGAAUUAUUGGGCGUAAAGAGCUCGUAGGCGGUCUGUUGCGUCCGCUGUGAAAACUCGGGGCUUAACCCCGAGCCUGCAGUGGAUACGGGCAGACUAGAGGUAGGUAGGGGAGAAUGGAAUUCCCGGUGUAGCGGUGAAAUGCGCAGAUAUCGGGAAGAACACCUAUGGCGAAGGCAGCUCUCUGGGACGGUACUGACGCUGAGACGCGAAAGCGUGGGGAGCGAACAGG